UACGUAGGGGGCAAGCGUUGUCCGGAUUUAUUGGGCGUAAAGAGCGUGUAGGCGGCCUGGUAGGUCAGCUGUGAAAACUCGAGGCUCAACCUCGAGACGCCGAUGGAAACCAUCUAACUAGAGUCCGGAAGAGGAGAGUGGAAUUCCUGGUGUAGCGGUGAAAUGCGCAGAUAUCAGGAAGAACACCCGUGGCUAAGGCGGCUCUCUAGUACGGUACUGACGCUGAGACGCGAAAGCGUGGGGAGCGAACAGG
rnacentral:rRNA from 1 species